rnacentral:rRNA from 1 species
AUUGAACGCUGGCGGCAGGCCUAACACAUGCAAGUCGAACGGUAACAGGAAGCAGCUUGCUGCUUUGCUGACGAGUGGCGGACGGGUGAGUAAUGUCUGGGAAACUGCCUGAUGGAGGGGGAUAACUACUGGAAACGGUAGCUAGUACCGCAUAACGUCGCAAGCCCAAAGAGGGGGACCUUCGGGCCUCUUGCCAUCGGAUGUGCCCAGAUGGGAUUAGCUAGUAGGUGGGGUAACGGCUCACCUAGGCGACGAUCCCUAGCUGGUCUGAGAGGAUGCCCAGCCACACUGGAACUGAGACACGGUCCAGACUCCUACGGGAGGCAGCAGUGGGGAAUAUUGCACAAUGGGCGCAAGCCUGAUGCAGCCAUGCCGCGUGUAUGAAGAAGGCCUUCGGGUUGUAAAGUACUUUCAGCGGGGAGGAAGGGAGUAAAGUUAAUACCUUUGCUCAUUGACGUUACCCGCAGAAGAAGCACCGGCUAACUCCGUG